GCAAAAAUUUUGGUUUUGUUUUGGUUCACACAUUUGUCCAUAGCUUCACACUAGCUUCCUCCUCCCCAGAUCGAUGUCUGACUUACAGGUGUGGAGUUUGGGGAAGGCAAAACCUGACACUGGUUUACUAGACAUUAUAUAAGAUAUAAUGCUAUUUACAAACAUGAGAAAUUGAAUCAUUGUUUAAACUAUUCAACUGCAACUGUUUGAAUAGCACAUGGUUCAGCCAUGAGCAGUUGGUGUAUUUGAACAAACCUCAUUUUCACUUUGGUUGCAGCUUGUUGAGGCCAAGAGGCCUUUCACCAGGCUUCUUGGCCUCAACCUUUCUGCACAGUGGGGAGGGGCUUCACUGAGGAUUUCACCACUUCCUGAAAGGGGCCCUGUCUGCCCCGGGGGCCUGCUGCCCGCCGAAGAGCCAGGCACGAUGGCAUUCCCAACCCCCCUGCCCCUCCCCCCUCCCAGGCCUCUGUGCCUGAAGCAGUGUCAGGGCUGACCGCCCGGAGCCCCACACCCCACACAGCCGCACAUUAAAGUGGGAGGACACAGCCCAUUGAGGAGGCCUGGUGCUAUUCUGCUGCAGCCUCCUGUUCCAGGAAACUGCACAGCAGUAUGUGUCUGUAGAUUGCAUAUGGGAGUAGCUGCAAUCUUCUGGUUACAAGUCCAACUCAUUUGUCUCCGUGCAACAGUGCCAGAGUCAAUAUCCUCUUUCACCAGGUGUGGUGCAACCUCAGUAAACUGGGUCAUUUCUGUUUGAAAAGGAGCAGAGCAGUGAUAAUCAACCAGCCGAUAAGCGACCGCACAGACUCCCAGAGUGCACUUCUCCUCUGCUGAAGGACAGGGGAACCAGAACAGAUGGACAGGCCCAUUCUCUGACGGUGAAGUAGCGAGGUGCUGAGAGGAGGGGGGCGGGGGUAUUUAGGUUGGGGGGGGGCGGGUCAGUCCUGUGACAGUGCACCUGUCCUGUCAGAGAACCAUAGCAGUGUUUAACCAGAGCUGGCAGCCCUUCAGCUUGACCCUGUCUCCACUGGUGACCACGGCUCUCUCAUCCCAUUAAGGUUGAGCGUGCUGGACUGGGCCGGGGAGGGGGGGGCGGGCUGGGGUCCCCUGCUGAGCCUGCUCGGGCCUCUCAGGGGCCCUUGACACUCACCACAGCCCUGAACAAACGUCCCCCUAAUCCCCUCUGACAGGGACCAGUGGCUGGUCACUACCCCCUCAGGACA